rnacentral:lncRNA from 1 species
AUGCGUGAUCAGUAUAAACGCCUGAUUGCCCCUUUAACGAACAAAGUACCAACAGGCAAAUUAGCUGGUGUGUGCGGUCACCAAAAUGACAGAGGAUUUAAAGACUUUGUUGAUCUAAGCUUUGGCGUUCAGGUGGCCAAGGAGAAGUUCCUGAUCAACAACAAAAAACAAGACCUGAUUGAGGUGCUCUUCUCCAGGGAGGAGAUGGUGUUGUUCUCCGUGUCGGGCAGGAAAUCAAACAUCGUUCAAGAUUCUGUGACAAAGCCAGCAUUGUCAAGCAACAAAGUGCUCGCUCUUGUUGCUCAUGUCCAGAGAUGUUUUGAGGGGGGGGACAAGCCCUCAAUGAGGACUGCCAGUCAUGGUCUACAAGCUACAGGACAUCGUCACCCAACUGAAGCCAAAAGCAGAAUAAAAUAAAUGAAAACAACCUAUUAAUAAAUCAUGUUUUUUUUGUGCUAGAUGAAAGCUAGGUAUU